AACGAACGCUGGCGGCAGGCUUAACACAUGCAAGUCGAGCGGGCCCUUCGGGGUCAGCGGCGGACGGGUUAGUAACGCGUGGGAACGUGCCCUUUGCUUCGGAAUAGCCCCGGGAAACUGGGGGUAAUACCGGAUGUGCCCUGAGGGGGAAAGAUUUAUCGGCAAGGGAUCGGCCCGCGUCUGAUUAGGUAGUUGGUGGGGUAACGGCUCACCAAGCCGACGAUCGGUAGCUGGUUUGAGAGGAUGAUCAGCAACACUGGGACUGAGACACGGCCCAGACUCCUACGGGAGGCAGCAGUGGGGAAUCUUAGACAAUGGGGGCAACCCUGAUCUAGCCAUGCCGCGUGGGUGAUGAA
rnacentral:rRNA from 1 species